rnacentral:rRNA from 1 species
UACGUAGGGCGCAAGCGUUGUCCGGAAUUAUUGGGCGUAAAGAGCUCGUAGGCGGUUUGUCGCGUCUGCUGUGAAAAACCUAAGGCUCAACCUUGGGCUUGCAGUGGGUACGGGCAGACUAGAGUGCGGUAGGGGGUGACUGGAAUUCCUGGUGUAGCGGUGGAAUGCGCAGAUAUCAGGAGGAACACCGAUGGCGAAGGCAGGUCACUGG